UCCAGGUGAAAUCGAUUUAAAUUUCCAGUUGCCAUUUACGUACUAUGUACACGGAUAAAAAGGGUUAUAAUUUGGUAGGGUCUUUAUUCAUUUAGUGUUGUUGAAUGUACAGUUUGCUGGUUGUUCUUUGACAACACUGCCACUGUCAUUUUUAAAAAAUGAUGCAAAAUCACAUGUUCCUUUUCUUUGCCCAACUUUAAAAAAAACUGUAAACAUGAUAAAUUACGAAAAAGCUUUUUUUUCCUUCCCUGCAUCGAAGUUUUGUAACUCAAUCAAGAUCACCUGAGUUAAAAUAAGAUACUCGAGCAGAU
rnacentral:lncRNA from 1 species